CGGCUUCGCCCUUAGGAGCCUGGAGGGCUCUGACCAAGGAGAAGGGCGGAGCCCAGCCACUGGAAGUGCAGCUCGUUUCUCAGAGCCGGCGGAUGUUCAUGGGCAGCACCAUCGAGCCAGAAGCAGUAUUUGUCCUGGUAAGUCAUUUCUCAACUGCCGAAGUGUACUAGGUUCCAGUCCCGCUGGUUUCUCGAAUCUGCUAGUCCCACACGAGCACCAAUAGGUAAACCCAGCCGGCAGUUUCCGGCUAGCACUUUCGCUAUUUGAAGACAUUAGGAAGUUAUGUGGUGGCUCCGUACCCUCCUUUCUCCAUCCGAGGCCGGGGUCCUAAAGUCGGUGUCAC
rnacentral:lncRNA from 1 species